rnacentral:rRNA from 1 species
UACGUAGGGGGCCAGCGUUGUCCGGAUUUACUGGGCGUAAAGCGCGCGUAGGCGGAACGUUUAAGUCCGGUCUGAAAGCCCCCGGCUCAACCCGGGGAGGGUGGCUGGAAACUGGGCGUUCUUGAGGGUGAGAGAGGUCGGUGGAAUUCCUGGUGUAGCGGUGGAAAUGCGUAGAGAUCAGGAGGAACACCCAUGGCGAAGGCAGCCGACUGGCUCAUCCCUGACGCUGAGGUGCGAAAGCGUGGGGAGCGAACGGG